AGCUUUGCGCAGUGGCUGUAUCGUAGCCAGUGAGGUUUAUCCGAGGCGCGAUUAUUGCUAAUUGAAGUUCUGGGUCACCAUGAACCCGGGCGGGGUGGCGGGGGUGGGGGCACUAUCCAACCCAAUACAC
rnacentral:snRNA from 1 species